rnacentral:rRNA from 1 species
AAUGUAUAGCAAUAGCUACUUGUAUCAUUGUAAAUAUGAUGCAAGAUCGACUAUGUCGAAUAAAAUUCUAGGUAGAAUUAUGAUAAUGACAUUGUCUGCCUAUGUGUCUUGACCAAAUUACGUGCCAGCAGUCGCGGUAAUACGUAGAAGACUAGUGUUAUUCAUGUUUAAUCGGUUUAAAGGGUACCUAGACGGUAAAUCAAGCCUAAAANAAAAUAAAUGAAGGGACUAAUUUACUAGAGUUACUUAUGAGGGGGUAUUAAAGUACUGCUGGUGUAGAGAUGAAAUUCUGUCAUACCUCUUUUCAAUAGAAAAAUAAUGGCACAGGUAUAGGCGAAAGCAUCCCCUUAUGUGAUAACUGACGUUGAGGGACGAAGGCUUUGUGUAGCGAACAGGAUUAGAUACCCCAGUAGUCAAAGCAGAAAAUGAUGAAUGUCAUAGAUUAGAUAUAUAAGUUUAUUCUAUAAAUGAAAGUGUAAGCAUUCCACCUCAAGAGUAAUUUGGCAACAUUGGAACUGAAAUCAUUAGACCGUUUCUGAAACCAGUAGUGAAGUAUGUUGUUUAAUUUGAUGAUCCGCAAAAAACCUUACCACAAUUUGAAUAUUUAUAUCUUUUAUUGUUUUUCUUUUUAACUUUCUUCUGAUUUUCUACUUAAAAGAAAACAAUAACAAGAAAAAAGAGGCAAUAAGAUAUAUUUACAAGCGUUGCACGGCUGUCUUCAGUUAAUGUCGCGAGACUAUGGUUAGUUCCAUUAAAUUAACGUAAACCCUUACUUUAUUUUUAUAUAGAGUAGUUCCCCGCUAUAUUGGAUAUGAUAACAGG